GUGAACGCUGGCGGCGUGGAUUAGGCAUGCAAGUCGAGCGAUGCCGCCGCAAGGCGGUAUAGCGGCAGACGGGUGAGCAACACGUGAGUAAUCUGCCCUUAAGUCAGGAAUAGCACCGUGAAAACGGUGGUAAUGCCUGAUAGUAUCUUUGAUACGCAUGUGUCAAGGAUUAAAGACCGGGACCGCAAGGCCUGUCGCUUAGGGAUGAGCUCGCGUCUUAUCAGCUAGUUGGUAGGGUAAUGGCCUACCAAGGCAAUUGACGAGUAGCUGGUCUGAGAGGAUGGUCAGCCACACUGGGACUGAGACACUGCCCAGACUCCUACGGGAGGCUGCAGUCGAGAAUCUUUAGCAAUGGGCGAAAGCCUGACUAUGCGACGCCGCGUGAGGGAUGAAGGUCUUCGGAUCGUAAACCUCUUUUUGGC
rnacentral:rRNA from 1 species